rnacentral:lncRNA from 1 species
GGAUUCUGGGAAAGCCAGAGAUGGCUCCUAGGGUGGGACUAGGAGAUGGACUUUUAAUCCAGGUCAUUGGCUGUGAGCAGGAGGGUCACGUGCUCCUUGAGGUGCCCGGUGGUGGGUGGGGUGAAUACUGGGCUGCUUAGGGCUGGGGAGUGGGUACCACCAGGGGGUGGGCCCUGUGAGGGAAGACCUGCCCGUAGCACCACUGUCAGGGCCUCUCCUACCAGACUGCUGAGUCUUUUCCCAAGGCCAAGACCAUUGGUAAAAGCCCUUGCAUCCCUCUGCCUACCUCCUUCCACUGAGUCCUGGACACGGCACAGGUGCUGAUGACAGGUUUGACGCCCCUGAGAGCAGGGGCGGCCUGACCACCAGUUGAGUUCCUGGUGGCAUGACACCGUGAGCAGUUACAGGGGGCUUGGGAGUGGCCCCAGCAAACCAGAGAGACCCACACAUGCUCGGCUGUUCUCCCCCUAAACAGAUGAGGAAACUGAGGCCCAGAGGGCUAAGGUGCUGACCUGCCGAGGUCACGCAGUGAGCCAGCCCUCAGUGUGUCCUGACAGCCCGUGGCUCAGCAGACCAGCCCAGCCUCCUUCUCUGGCCAAGGUUACUGUGCCUGGAGAUGGAUGCUUUGUACACCGAGGCUCUGCCAGCCCAAUUAACCUCCAAUAACUGUCAGCUCUUGCUGCUGGUGACGUGGCGGUUUUCUUAUUAAGCCCUGUUGGGUAAGUUGGGGACUCCAUGGAGGCAGAGUGUGUCUGUCUGCAGUAGAGCAUGCCACUGGCACAUAGUGGGUGUGCAGUAAAUACGUGCAGGAAGGUAAGGAGCGUGGGCGAGUGCGUGGCUGGUUGGACAGCGUGCCCCCCGCCGCCCCAGGGGCAAGCUGUGGGCUUGGUCCAUCCUUUCCCUGUGACACGGAUGUGGCCUGCCUGCCCAGUGCAGGAUGGCACAGAGCCGGGAGCGGGCGCCACGGCAUUGAGGGGCAGGAGCCCGUUCCCCGGAGAUGCGGAGCAGCUGGCACGAAGGGCUGAGACUAACAAGGCGUGAUUGAAUGGGAGUGGACGGAAACCCAGCACCUCAGGCGAAACCCAAACAGAUCCUUCCCAGAGCUGCCUGGCAGGAUGUGUGAAGGGGCCCCCCCCCCGGGGGGGGGGGGGUGGGGGGGUGGGGAGGGGGUUGACAUCGAGGACAAGGUGAGGACACAGUGCCGUGCAUCUCACAGAAGCGUGACGCCAAAACAAGGGAGGCAGAGGGCCCCUGGUGCCGUCACUGCUCAGACCACGUUAGCACUGAGGCUCAGCGCCAGGUGUCACGUUUUAGGAGGGACCUUGACAGCAAGCAUGACCCCGGGGCAGCUGGACCCAAGGGUGUGGGACCUAACACCGUGGAGUGGGAAGAGCAGUGGAGGACGUGAGGCUGUUUAGCCUGCAUCAGCGGAUUGCAGAGGCACGAGAGAACCGAUGAACAAUUAUCAGACGGGCCUUCGAGGAGGGCAAUUGGCUCCAUCGGCUCCAGACAAGCUAUGUCCAGCCAGUGGCAGGUUGGGACCAAUGGAUGAAAGAGGCCCAGGGACUAGGUUUGGCUUUGGUGUUUGUUUGUUUGUCUUUUUAGGGCCACACCCUUGGCACAUGGAGGUUCCCAGGCCAGCAGCUGCAGCUCCUAUUCCAUCCCUAGCCUGGGAACGUCCACGUGACGCAGGUGUGGCCCUAGAAAACAAAACAAAACAAAACAAAACAAAGGUAAAGCCUACUUUGACUUUAUGAUGGGAGUGGGGGGGCUGAUAAGGAACUGAAUGAUGUCCUGUAUUGCUGAGGGCUCUGAAGAGACCAAAGCCAGGGUAGAGUGACCAGUGAGUCAUCUCAGAUUGGGCGUUAUAGGCAAGGUGGGGUUGCGGGGAGCAGCUGAGAAAAGACCUGAAUGAAGUGAGGCAGUGGGUUGUGCAGAUAUUAGGGGAAGAGCAUUCCAAGCAGAGAGAACAGCAUGUGCAAAGGCCCUGAGGUGGGAGAGCGCCUGGGGUUACUCGAGGAGCGUGGCUGACCUGGGCUGCGUACUUCCCGAUGGAUGGAGACAUGGAAGUCUCUCGGUUUAGGCACAGCCCGCACUCGUACGCUUUCCCGAUAGCGAGGGAGGAGUCUACCCAAGGGGCAGGAAGCCCACAAGAUGGCCUGGGCAUGUCCAGUCCCUGCACUGGACCCGGCCAUUUGUUGGAAGCUGGGGAAGGAGGGGGCCUCAGUUUUCUCAUCUAUAAAAUGAAGCCAACAGCACCAGCCAUGCUGGGCUGACAUAGGAGUCAAGACAUAUAAAAUGGCAGGCACACGUGAGCCCUUGGGCCAAGGGUAGCUGUGGCUGUUUUAUGGGCGGGGAGACGGAAACCCCGGGAGGCUCAUUAAUGUGUCCUGUGUCGCACAGCUCGGCACUCAGUCCCGGGACCCUUUGCCUCCAACAUCCAUGCUUGUUUCUCUCUGCACCUGACAUCCAGAUGGUUUACUCACCAAGCAGUGGUUCAGGGGCGAAGAUGUUACCUAUCCCAUUUUACAGAUGAGGAACGGAGACCCAGAGCCACCCCCUCGAGGAGCCCUGGUGAGGUGGAGGCAGCCACCAGACCCAGUAUUGAGUUCCCAGGGGGUGGCAAGCUUUGUCUCCUGAGGGUGGCGUGGUGGCCCAUCACUGGGACCCCGAGCCUGUGCUGUGCUUCCAGUAGAGAGAAGCGAGGUGGCCGCUCACCCUCGAAUUCUGGCUGGGCCCCAGGAGUCCUCCGUCCUCCUAAUUAAUCCCGGCUAAUGGCACUGACAGGGACAGUGACAAUGGCACCUCAGGGAGCCUUGGCCAGCCCGGCCCAGGGAGGAGCCCAUGCCAGGGCUGAUCAGCUGCUGCAAAUGCUAUUUCCCUGGCUAAGCCUCACGUCCAGCUCCUGGGAGGUCGGAACACCUCCCCUGUCAGGCUUCCUGGACCCCAUCAAUGAGUGUCUCACGGGAGUGUGGCCUCAUGAGCAGGAGCGGUGCCUUCUCUGGGCCCCCUGCGCUGUACGGAGUGUGUUUGCCUGGGGUGUUAGGAGGCACACACCUCGCCACCCAGGUGGAGAAACAGGUUUGGCGCGGGCCUGCAACUUGCCCAGGGACUCAGAGCUGGCCAGCCCCGCGUCUUCCCUGCCGGACCCCCACUCCUCCUCCCUCCCCCUCUGCUCUUAGCCCGGGGACACAGGCAGACCUCACCCUGCCCAGCGUCCAGCCCAGGCAGGGGGAGCAGCCCCCUGAUCCUCACAGCCCCCCAGCCUGGGGCCAGGAGGCCAAGAUUCCCCUCUGACUGGGGAGCUUGAUGGUCAGUCUGCUGUGGAGGUCAGGGGGCAGAUGUGGCCCAGGGGUACAGGGAGCCUGAGUCCAGGGGAACCCUAAUCUUAUGAGGAAAUCAGGACCACACCCUCAUUUAUAACGGUAGCUGACAUUUUCUGAGGCCU